rnacentral:tRNA from 1 species
GUCACGAUUAGAAUAAAGAAGUCGCUGGUCCAGAGGUGUUGGUUCAAAUCCAGCUCUUGACA